GAACGGUAGCACAGAGAGCUUGCUCUUGGGUGACGAGUGGCGGACGGGUGAGUAAUGUCUGGGAAACUGCCCGAUGGAGGGGGAUAACUACUGGAAACGGUAGCUAAUACCGCAUAACGUCUUCGGACCAAAGUGGGGGACCUUCGGGCCUCACACCAUCGGAUGUGCCCAGAUGGGAUUAGCUAGUAGGUGGGGUAAUGGCUCACCUAGGCGACGAUCCCUAGCUGGUCUGAGAGGAUGACCAGCCACACUGGAACUGAGACACGGUCCAGACUCCUACGGGAGGCAGCAGUGGGGAAUAUUGCACAAUGGGCGCAAGCCUGAUGCAGCCAUGCCGCGUGUAUGAAGAAGGCCUUCGGGUUGUAAAGUACUUUCAGCGAGGAGGAAGGUGUUGUGGUUAAUAACCGCAGCAAUUGACGUUACUCGCAGAAGAAGCACCGGCUAACUCCGUG
rnacentral:rRNA from 1 species